ACUGUGCCACUGGAGAUCCCGUGCUCUGAAAAGUGCGAACAAGGAUGGUACUAUCAGAAUGGGACGUUUAUUGUCGACUCAACUCCGAAUGCCGGUGGAAGGAGGUUACCGGUUGUAGUGGAUGUAACGCCUCAGAAUCUGACAAUCCGUGUCUGCGAGAAUCUGCAGUGGCAACUUGACUGUGGCAAGUGUAACUGUAUUAUCAAUUAUACAGG